rnacentral:rRNA from 1 species
AUUGAACGCUGGCGGCAGGCUUAACACAUGCAAGUCGCGCGAGCGGCGGACGGGUGAGUAAUGUCUGGGAAACUGCCUGAUGGAGGGGGCUAACUACUGGAAACGGUAGCUAAUACCGCAUACCAUCAGAUGUGCACAGAUGGGAUUAGCUAGUAGGUGGGGUAAUGGCUCACCUAGGCGACGAUCCCUAGCUGGUCUGAGAGUAUGACCAUCAACACUGGAACGUAGACACGGUCCCGACUCCUACGGGAGGCAGCAGUGGGGAAUAGUGCACAAUGGGCGCAAGCCUGAUGCAGCCAUGCCGCGUGUGUGAAGAAGGCCUUCGGGUUGUAAAGCAGUUUCAGCGAGGAGGCGUUACUCGCAGAAGAAGCACCGGCUAAGUACGUGCAAGCCGCCGCGGUAAUUC